rnacentral:rRNA from 1 species
UACAGAGGUGGCAAGCGUUGUUCGGAAUUACUGGGCGUAAAGGGCGCGUAGGCGGCCCGUCAAGUCCCGUGUGAAAGCCCCCGGCUCAACCGGGGAACUGCACGGGAAACUAGCAGGCUUGAGUUCGGGAGAGGGAAGCGGAAUUUCGGGUGUAGCGGUGAAAUGCGCAGAUAUCCGAAGGAACACCGGUGGCGAAGGCGGCUUCCUGGACCGACACUGACGCUGAGGCGCGAAAGCUAGGGGAGCAAGCGGG